rnacentral:tRNA from 91 species
GCCCCCGUAGCUCAGGGGAUAGAGCAACGGCCUCCGGAGCCGUGUGCGCAGGUUCGAAUCCUGCCGGGGGCACC